rnacentral:rRNA from 1 species
UACAGGGGGGGCAAGCGUUGUUCGGAAUUACUGGGCGUAAAGGGUCUGUAGGUGGCCAACUAAGUCAGACGUGAAAUCCCUCAGCUUAACUGGGGAACUGCGUCUGAUACUGGAUGGCUUGAGUGUGGGAGAGGAAUGCGGAAUUCCAGGUGUAGCGGUGAAAUGCGUAGAUAUCGGGAGGAACACCUGUGGCGAAAGCGGCUCACUGGACCACAACUGACGCUGAUGCGCGAAAGCUAGGGGAGCAAACAGG